CAUCGCCUCUUGCCCCAAACAUAAGAGGUCCAGCCUGCCCAGUGACUAUUGUUCAACGGCCGCGGUAUCCUAACCGUGCGAAGGUAGCGUAAUCACUUGUUCUUUAAAUGAGGACUAGUAUGAAUGGCAUCACGAGGGUUAUACUGUCUCCUCUCUCUAAUCAGUGAAACUAAUCUCCCCGUGAAGAAGCGGGGAUAAAAUUAUAAGACGAGAAGACCCUAUGGAGCUUUAAGUAAAUCUUCAAACGCUUGUAUACCCUAACAGUCAUAGACCCUUAAAAUUAACUUUAGCGCCAUGAAGAUGAACUUUAGGUUGGGGUGACCACGGAGUACAAAAAAACCUCUACGCUGAACAAGCCUCAAAGCCUUGAGUAAAGGACCACAACCCGACACACUAAUAAACUAACACCCAUUGACCCAAUAAUCCUUUGAUCAACGAACCAAGUUACCCUAGGGAUAACAGCGCAAUCUACUUCAAGAGUUCCUAUCGACAAGUAGGUUUACGACCUCGAUGUUGGAUCAGGGUAUCCCAGUGGUGCAGCCGCUACUAACGGUUCGUUUGUUCAACGAUUAAAACCCUACGUGAU
rnacentral:rRNA from 1 species